CACUUCUAAGGAAGGCAGCAGGCGCGCAAAUUACCCAAUCCUGACUCAGGGAGGUAGUGACAAGAAAUAACAAUAAACCGACUUAUGCCGGUUUAAUUGGAAUGAGUACAAUUUAAACAUCUUAACGAGGAACAAUUGGAGGGCAAGUCUGGUGCCAGCAGCCGCGGUAAUUCCAGCUCCAAUAGCGUAUACUAAAGUUGUUGCAGUUAAAAAGCUCGUAGUUGGAUUUCUGUGGGGACGGAGCGGCCGGCCGCAACACGCGGUUCGAGCUAGCGCUUUCCCUACAUCCUGCCGCGAACCGUGCUACCAUUAAUUUGGUGGCGCCGGGGAUCGGCUCGAUUACUUUGAGAAAAAUAGAGUGUUCAAAGCAGGCCACACGCCUUGAAUAAGUUAGCAUGGAAUAAUAACUAAGGACUUCGGUUCUAUUUUGUUGGUGUUCGGGACUGAAGUAAUGAUUGAUAGGGACAGUUGGGGCGGUCUGUAUUCCAAAGCGAGAGGUGAAAUUCUUAGACCUUCGGAAGACAAACAGCUGCGAAAGCGUUCCGCAAGGAUGUUCCCUUUGAUCAAGAACGAAAGUUGGGGGAUCGAAGACGAUCAGAUACCGUCGUAGUCUCAACUAUAAACUAUACCAGCUAGGGAUCGGCCAACGUUAUUUCAUACCGACUUGGUCGGCACCUUAUGAGAAAUCAAAGCAUCUGGGUUCCGGGGGGAGUAUGGUCGCAAGGCUGAAACUUAAAGGAAUUGACGGAAGGGCACCACCAGCCGUGGAGCCUGUGGCUUAAUUUGACUCAACACGGGAAAACUUACCAGGUCCAGACAUAGUAAGGAUUGACAGAUUGAUAGCUCUUUCUUGAUUCUGUGGGUGGUGGUGCAUGGCCGUUCUUAGUUGGUGGAGUGAUUUGUCUGGUUAAUUCCGUUAACGAACGAGACCCCAGCCUGCUAAAUAGCGCGCGUGAGCUUUGCUCGCGGCGAGCUUCUUAGAGGGACUAUGAUGCGCGAUAGCACAUGGAAGUUUGGGGCAAUAACAGGUCUGUGAUGCCCUUAGAUGUUCUGGGCCGCACACGGGCUACACUGGCGCCUGCAACGAGCAUAUCAGCUGGCCCGAGAGGGUCUUGGCUAAUCUUUUGAACCGGCGCCGUGCUUGGGAUUGACCUUUGCAAUUGUUGGUCAUGCAACGAGGAAUGCCUUGUAAACGCGAGUCAUCAGCUCGCAUUGAAUACGUCCCUGCCCUUUGUACACACCGCCCGUCGCUCCUACCGAUGAAUGUUCCGAUGAAAUUUUCGGAGAGCACCUGUGAACUUGGCUCUGCCUUGCGAACGGGAGGCUCAAAGUCACUUAAAUCUGAACAUU
rnacentral:rRNA from 1 species